rnacentral:ribozyme from 11 species
GUUUUUUUUUUUUUUUUUUUCCCUCCCUUUUUCUGUCCGUUUCCCUUUUUUAAGACCCCACUUCCAGGCUCUGCUGUAUGUCACAGAAUCGAUCAGUCAUAGAAUAU